rnacentral:misc_RNA from 1 species
GUUUUCUCAAUAUAGAGAAACCUUCUGAAGAAGAACAUUACUUCUACUAUAUAUCUUCAUUUGUUUAUAAUUAUAUAUAGGUCUUCAAACUCAUUUAUAAUAUAUAUAUUUUUUUACAUUAAUUCGAUGCAAAAGCCCAAGCUAUUAAACAACACAAUUUCUACCAUAGGCUGAUACACUAUUGAUUCCCAUUGAAGGAUCUUGAAAAACAGGAGACGACAUAGUAGAUUUACAAUAAAAUUAGCUAACCAAUCCGCACACAUAUCUGCUCGCUCGCACCAAUCUCAACUGCGAAUUUCCCUACAAUAGAUAUAGAUGCAGCAUACUUGAGCAUGAUAUGAGACUUAUGAUAAUAGGAUCAUAUGUAUAUAUAUAUAUAGAGAGAGA